CCUACGGGAGGCAGCAGUGAGGGAUAUUGGUCAAUGGACGCAAGUCUGAACCAGCCAUGCCGCGUGCAGGAUGACGGCUCUAUGAGUUGUAAACUGCUUUUGUACGAGGGUAAACACCGAUACGUGUAGCGGGUUGAAAGUAUCGUACGAAUAAGGAUCGGCUAACUCCGUGCCAGCAGCCGCGGUAAUACGUAGGAUCCACGCGUUAUCCGGAUUUAUUGGGUUUAAAGGGUGCGUAGGCGGUAUGAUAAGUUAGAGGUGAAAGGUCGGGGCUCAACCCCGAAACUGCCUCUAAUACUGUUGGACUAGAGAAUAGUUGCGGUAGGCGGAAUGUAUGGUGUAGCGGUGAAAUGCUUAGAGAUCAUACAGAACACCGAUUGCGAAGGCAGCUUACCAAACUAUAACUGACGUUGAGGCACGAAAGCGUGGGUAGCAAACAGGAUUAGAUACCCGAGUAGUC
rnacentral:rRNA from 1 species